rnacentral:rRNA from 1 species
AGAGUUUGAUCCUGGCUCAGGAUGAACGCUGGCGGCGUGCCUAAUACAUGCAAGUCGAACGAGAUUAGCUUGCUAAUCGAGUGGCGAACGGGUGAGUAACACGUUGGUAAUCUACCUUUCAGUUGGGGAUACCCGGACGAAAGUCUGGCUAAUACCGUAAUACGUAAUAAGGUGCAAUUCCUUAUUAUAAAAGGUCCUUUCGGAUCGCUGAUUGAUGAGCCUGCGUCUGAUUAGCUAGUUGGUGAGAUAAUAGCCCACCAAGGCGAGGAUCAGUAGCCGACCUGAGAGGGUGAUCGGCCACAAUGGAACUGAGACACGGUCCAUACUCCUACGGGAGGCAGCAGUAGGGAGUUUUCGACAAUGGGGGCAACCCUGAUCGAGCAACGCCGCGUGAGUGAUGAAGGUCUUCGGAUUGUAAAACUCUUUUAUUUGGGAUAAAUGGCUAGGGUAGGUAAUGACCUUAGUUUGAUAGUACCUUUUGAAUAAGCAACGACUAACUACGUGCCAGCAGUCGCGGUAAUACGUAGGUUGCAAGCGUUAUCCGGAAUUAUUGGGCGUAAAGAGUGAGCAGGCGGUCUAUUAAGUUUGAGGUCAAAUCGAUGGGCUUAACCCAUUCUCGCUUCAAAAACUGGUAGACUAGAGUAUGUGAGAGGUAAGUAGAACUCCAUGUGUAGCGGUGAAAUGCGUAGAUAUAUGGAAGAAUACCAGUGGCGAAGGCGGCUUACCAGCACAAUACUGACGCUCAGUCACGAAAGCACAGGGAGCAAAUAGGAUUAGAUACCCUAGUAGUCUGUGCCGUAAACGAUGAUUACUAAAUAUUCCCGUUAGGGAGUGCUGAAGCUAACGCAUUAAGUAAUCCGCCUGGGAAGUACGAUCGCAAGAUUGAAACUUAAAGGAAUUGACGGGGUCCCGCACAAGUAGUGGAGCAUGUGGUUUAAUUCGACGCUACGCGAAGAACCUUACCAGGGCUUGACAUGGAGUUAAAAGCUCUAGAAAUAGAGUCAUAGUUAUAGCUCACACAGGUGGUGCAUGGUUGUCGUCAGCUCGUGUCGUGAGAUGUUGGGUUAAGUCCCGCAACGAGCGCAACCCUCGUCCUUAGUUGCCAUUAUUAAGUUAGGAACUCUAGGGAUACUGCCGGUGUUAAACCGGAGGAAGGUGGGGAUGACGUCAAAUCAUCAUGCCCUUUAUGUCCUGGGCGACACACGUGCUACAAUGGUCGGUACAAAGAGACGCAAUGGCGCGAGCCGGAGCAAAUCCCAUAAAGCCGA